AUGAAUGGAAUUCAAAGUUACUUUCAUGAAUCCCACAUGGGUGGCGAGGACCGGCUGUACUGUAACCAGUGCAAAAGCAAAGCUGAUGCCACCAUAAAACUAGAGAUGAAACAUCCUCCAGAGGUGCUGACACUGCUGCUGAAAAGAUUUAAGUUUGAUUACCAUGUCAAGAAAUGUGUUAAAAUUCAAAGCAAAGUACAAAUUCCCAGUAGCCUCCAGAUACCACCUAAUGAGAUUCAGAGUCUGACCUAUGAGCUUUAUGCCUAUGUGGAUCACUUUGGUGAGCUGAGACAUGGACAUUACACUGUCACAAUCAAGUCCCAGGAAGACAAGAAGUGGUACCACUUUGAUGACACCCUCGUCAAAUUGGUGAGACUAAUCAUUUUUGAAGAAUUUGUGAUCAACAUCAAGUUUAGGAUGUGAAACUAAUGGGUUCUUGUGUUUUUGCUUUUCACCUAAUCACACAAAACAUUUCAGGGGGAUUUCCAAGAACAGUAAGUAUUUAUUUAUCUCCCUCCUGAAUAUGACAAUGACCCUGAACUAUUUUUUCAUCUUCUUCAUUAGAUCUCAAAAUGUUUAUCUGGCGUUCUACAGAAAAGCUUCUGCUAUGGAUGCCCCAGCAGAAAACGUCUCUGAAGUGCCAACUUUGAAAGCUGGCCAGCAAAAUAUGAGUGAAAACAAUGUGAAGUGGGAUUGUGGUGCACAGCCCAAAGCACAGAAGGAUGUGCAGAAGGCAGAGGAGAAUAAAGGGGAAGUGGGAAACGGGUUAGCUGUCCCAUUGAGCAAAGAUAACAGCGGGAUUAGAGCUGAUAAUGACAGUGGAGGGUCAGUGAGUCAUGAGAAGUCUCACAGUCGACAAGAUUUGUCAAAAAACAACCAACACUUACCUGUUCAGGUUCUAAAUGAUUCAAAACCAGAAACUGGUGGACACAGCAGCUUUAAACAAGAAGGCAUACCAAAACAAAAUGGCCUUGAACCAACUCGGAGCAAUAAACAAAUUACAAAUCAACAUAAUAGAGUUGGUGGGAAUCAACAGCACCAUCAAGGUUUUCAGUCAAACAGCAAACGUGAUGAGGAUGCCACAAUAAGUAGCAGUCAGCCGCAAAAGUCUUCUAUGAAAAACAGCAAGAAAGAGAAAAGGAGCGAUUGUAAAAGCAGUCGAACCACAGAAAGGCCAGAAAACCCGUGUGGUGAGAGUAACGCGGGUCAGGACUCUCAGCACUUUAACAAUGUUCCUCAAAACAAGGUUAAGCAAAAUUUGCUGAAGAUUAAUAAAUGUGAACAAGCUGUAUCUAAAAGAUGUGAGCAACAAAAAGCGGAUAAAAGAAAAGUUCCAAAUGAAAACAGAACAGAUGAUGAACAUCUGAAAAAGGGUGAACCAUCCGUAAAACGGAAAUGUAAUCUUUUAGGACAGUCAGAUAUUUCCCUCACAAUUCAAAGUUCACAGUUAAAAAGCAGUAGUAAUACCGUUCCUUGGACUAAAGAGGCUAAAAUGCACAUUCUUCAGACUAACUGGCUCAAUAAAAGUGAAGAGGAGCUUCAAAGGAGCAAGCAAAAUGUUGGAAUGGGGAGCGAAAGAGAGAACGAAGAACCCAAUCCACAUUUUUACACAGGGUCGAAUGAGGAGCAAAAAGGAAACGAGUGUUAUAAGAAUGAUGACAAACAUGAGCAAAAGUUAGAAAAUCCCUGCUGUACAGGUGGAACGAUCCAAAAAACUGUUCAACUUGAAAUGGAAACCAACAGACCACAGAGUGAGCUGGGCCGAGAAAAGCACAUGACUUUGACUCAAGGAACAGAAGUAACUUUAAAGUCCGAAGCACAGUCCGAUCCAAAUAUAGAUGAGGUUCAGUCAAUGUUCAGCAAACUAACUGUGAAAGAUUCAUCAGAGCUAGAGGGAUACGGUGCUGACAACACUGGUGGAAACAAAGACCGUUGUUCUGGGAAACCUGGUUUAACAGAGACACAUCUGGAGAAAAUGACGCGAGACUCGGUGAAGGCAGGUGACAAAAAAGAGGGGUCUGGUGGAAAAAAGAGAACAAACAAAAUGAAGGGAACGGUUUUUAUGGUGGCAGGUCUUAAUGUGCCAAAAAGAUAA
rnacentral:lncRNA from 1 species